GACAGCUCCCCUGCCCACCCCGCCCUUGACCUCACCUUUUCCAUGAGGGACUCCACAGCAUGGCGGGUCACCCAGCAGCGGCCCCCGGACACCUCUCCCUCCUGGAUGAUGUCCCCUCUCUGGCUCCAGGCCUCAUACUCCUCCUGGCUCAAGUACUCUACAGGUGACAUUGGACGGGGCCAUCAUAGACCAGCUGUGUGGGGGUCUGGGGGAGUCCCAUGGUAAACACCCCUGUCCCCGUGAACCCUGCCAGCACUGGGAGAAGCUCUUCUUAGGAUGUCCACUUUACAAACCUGACCCUGCACACCCCGCUCUGUGCCCUGCACCUCCAUCCUGAACUAUCUGGACACAGCAGUGCCUCCUGCCACCCUGCCAGCACCGAGCCCCUCUUCCAGCCCACCCCAGUGGGGUCCAGGCCCCUCCCUGGAGCCUCACCUUGCGGGUCACGGUGCACUGCUGAGUCAUGUCCUGGAUGAGGGCUAUGAGCUGCUGCUGAGCCCUGCAGAGACCAGCAGAGGCCCUGACCCAGCUGCCUCCUGCCAGGCUGGAGCGCUCCAUCCUGGCGGCCAUGCCAGUCUCCAGAGCUUUCAAAAGACUCCAGGGCCUCGGCCCACCCCUGGAGAUGCUGAUUUACUUGUCCUGGGGCGGGACCCAGGGGGUGCUGUUGAGCAGCCAGCGUACAGGGCCCCACUCCAGGACCUCAAUAUUCAUGGUGGGUCCCUGGCCUGCAGCCUGGAGUCACCGAGAGAGCUGUUAGAAAUGCAGAGUGCCAGGCCUCUCCCUGGACCUGCUGGCUCCGAUCCCCAGGGGACUUGAGUUUGCAAUGAGUGAUGGGGGUGCUGAGCUCAACACUCCUGCUUUCUAGCACUGUGCGUUCCGUGCACUUGAAACUUGGAGCCUCCCAUAGGCUGAUCUAGAACAAUGGUUUCCUUUUCUUUUUUUUUUUUUUUGAGACAGAGUCUCACUCUGUCGCCCAGGCUGGAGUGCAAUGGCUCAAUCCCGGCUCACUGCAACCUCUGCCUCCGGGGUUCAAGUGAUUCUCCUGCCUCAGCCUCCUGAGUAGCUGGGAUUACAGGCACCUGCCACCACGCCCAGCUAAGUUUUUUGUAUUUUUAAUAGAGACAGGGUUUCACCAGGUUACCCAGGCUGGUCUCGAACUCCUGACCUCAGAUGAUCCACCCGCCUCGGCCUCCCAAAGUGUUUGGAUUACAGGUGUGAGCCACCAUGCUCGGCCUAGAGCAGUGGUUUUCAAUGGAGCAAGGCAGGGGGCAAUGUCACUCCCCAGGGAGGGUGACCAGCUGUCCCUGCUUGCCCAGGACCGAGGGGCUUCCCUGCAAGUGGGGCUUUCAGUGCUAAGACCAAGACAGUCCUAGGAGAACCAGGGGACCCUUGGCAACCUAUAGAGACAUUUCUGGUUGUCACAGCUGGGGCAUGGGAGUAGUCCCGGCAUCCUGGGUAGGGCGGCCAGGGAUGCUGCUCUAUAUCCUGCAGUGCCCAGGACGGCCCCACCACAGACGGGGAUCCAGCCCCAAACGUCCAUGGUACCAAAGCUAAGAAACCCAGAGCUAAGAAACCCAGAUCUAGAAUGUUCUAGAAUGAACAUUUCAUUUGCAAUAUAUAAAGCAUCCAUCACAAAGAAACAACAUCUUCAGCAGUGAUCUUGGCAGGCUUCCCUCCUUAGGGGGGUCUCACCACGCCCACCCUCUAUUGCUGGGCAGGAGGAGGAAGCCGAGGCAGGCUGGGUGCCAUUUCCCUGUGGGCCUCUCUGGGGACGCACCGAGCUCGAGGCAGCUGCUCACCUGGAGUAGUUGGGGAUGGUGCCGUGCGCGGCAGCAGCAGAAGCCGUCCACCCUCCUGAGAAGCCCCACGGCCUCCUCCAGGGUCGUGUCCUCCAGGACUGCCUUGAACAAGGGCUCUGAGGCUUCGUAAUCAACCUGAGGGCAAGUCGAGAAGGUCAGUCUCUUUCCCCCGGGACUCUGAAUCCAGCCAGAAGACAGAAGGCGCUGAGGGCACUGAGGCGAGGCGCGGGCCAGCCCUGCCGUAGGACCACUGCCUGCACGCCUUGGUCAAAACAAAGCCACACACCAGAGCCUCUGUGGGGCCUUCACACCUCUAGUGAUGCGUGCUACACAUAGUGCUGGCCAGAGAGUCAACUGCCAACCCUUCCCCAGUCGAGAUCGGGGGUUCUUUGUGAUAAGCACUUUCCUGUCUUGAAAAAGAAAAGAAAAGAAAAGAAAGAACCUCGGUUCUAGAACAUUCAAGAGCAUUCUAGAUAGAGGUUUCUUAGCCUUGGGAUCAUUCUGUGCUGCUGCGGGCUAUACCGGGCCCUACAGGAUGCUGAGUGGCAUCCCUGGCCUUCACCUACCCGAUGCCCUGGCUCUCCACCCACAGCCUUCCCCACUGUGAAGGCCCACCCCCCAGGGCUUCCACCAUCCACUUCAUUUCUUCUCAAUAUUGUUCUAAGCUUAGGAGAGUAGAUAUUUUUACAAUAAAAAUUAAGAUGUGUUUUAACACCAUUAGAAUCUAAUUGGCCCCCUUAGGAUAUCGGGACUAUCUCCCUGAACAUCGUCAAGGGGCUCUGUUGCUUGAACUACCUCAGAGCUGAUAAUUGGGAACCUUAAGAGCAGGGUUCCCCAACCCCUGGGCCACAUACUGGUACUGGUCCAUGGUCCAUCAGGACCCGGGUCACACAGCAGGAGGGGCGUGGUGGGCAAGUGAGCAUUACGGCCUCAGCUCCACCUCCUGUCAGCUCAGCACAGCAGUAGAUUCUCAGAGGAGCAUGAGCCCUAUCGUGAACUGUGCAAGUGAGGGAUCUAGGUUUCACGCUCCUUAUGAGAAUCUAAUUCCUGAUGAUCUGUUACCGUCUCCCAUCACCCCCAGAUGGGACCGUCUAGUUGCAGGAAAACAAGCUCAGGGCUCCCACUGAUUCUGAAUUAUGGUUCAGUGUAUGAUUCUUUCAUUACAUAUUACAGUGUAAUAAUAAUAGAAAUAAAGUGUACAAUCAAUGUAACGUGCUUGAAUCAUCCCAAAACCAUCCCCCACAACCCGGUCUGUGGAAAAGUUGUCUUCCAUGAAGCCGGUCUCUGGUGCCAAAAAGGUUGGGGACUGCUGCUUAAGAGGACAACUAGAAAUGUAAAGAAGG
rnacentral:lncRNA from 10 species